AGCAGCACAGAGAUCAAAACAUCAGAGCAUUGGAAGAGCUAAAAGCUUCAGUCCAGCUAUCCAAGCAACAGGAGUGUCUACACAUAAAAACAUCAGCACUAAUUCGGUUUCCAAGAAAGAAAGUCCAGUCCAAAGAUGUCUGGGUCGAGGAGCUCUUCUUCCCGCAGCGUCAACGUGGACUCCACGUGGAGCAAAAAAGAGAACAAGCUGUUUGAAGAGGCCCUCGCCUACUACGGCGAGGACACACCCGACCGCUGGCACAAGGUGUCCCGCGCCAUUGGAGGCAGCAAGACGGCCGACGAGGUGCGCCGCCAUUAUGAGUUACUCGAUGAGGACGUCAAGCUCAUUUUGUCCGGCAAUGUUCCGUUCCCCAAGUACAACACACAGGGGCCUUGGAACUAAGAGUGAAGCAUGUGAAGAACCACCGACAGACACUGCUGCUACACAAGCAUAAACAGAUUCAGAUAUCUUAGCUAUAUAUUCAAGGAAACAUGCCUGAUAUAUUUUUGUUUUCUUAUGAAGUUAAUGAUCGCUUGGUCAACAAUAAAAGGAGCCAGUAGCCAUAUGUAUGUGUGUUGUGUGUGUAUAUAUAACGAUAGAUUGUACGCAAAUCAGCUGUUAUGCUACAGAAAUUAGGGUACACUAUCUGCCCAUAGUGUGUAGUUAUGGUCCCCUAGCAGGACUACUUGUGCAGUAAACAUUAUUGUAAAUAAAUAAAACUCCUGUACCGGUUUGCUAAUUAUAAUAUAAAUUGCGCUUGGUUUGAAGUAA